GGUGGGUGGAUGAAAUGGUUGUUUAAUCAAGUAGGGAGAAUUUCGAGGAUGCUUUCAUUUGACAUAAUCCAGUGGAUCUAAAGGGAAAGGAAUAAGAAAUUCUAUGACAAUGGAGUAUCAUUAGAAGUGAGUGAGAGACGUGAUCAAUAAUUUUUUAUCAGUUGAUUGAAUUUAGUGAAAAUGGGUUUUGUGGCACUCUGCCAUCCGUAUGGAAAGAGCUUAAACAACGACAACACAUGGAAGAAAAGGGUAGUUCGUGUUAUUAGAAGUGACAAGGGAGAAACAAUAUGUUGUUUCGGGACGGGUGAGACUCCAACAAGGUAGAUCAAAUUUCAUUGUUAGCAAAACUAAAAAUGUUGGUACAAGGCAUACAUUGAUAUUUUUAUCAUGUUUCGAGGAAAGCUAGUGUGGUCACUGACACACCAACAAAGGAAGGUAUGUUACCUUUACCUUGAUUUUGCAUUCCCAGUCCCUUCGUUUUCAUUAACAGAAGCUGUGUCAAUUACAUGAAAAAAAUAACAGCAAAAGAAAAAGAAAUGGUUGGUAAAAAAAGAAAAAGAAAAAGGUAUUUCUUGGGCUAGUUCAUGUUCAUCUCAAACAUUGUUCUCGCCCACAAAUGUCAAUCUUGGGCUGUGUUAUUAGCUGUAACGUAUCUGUUUAGGCAUCAACAUUGGAAUAACACAUUAGUCCUCUAGUUAUAUACUUUUUUCCA